GUUUAUUGUGAAUGUGCAUAAGUUGAAACACUAUACCACUAGCGAUGUAGUAGACCAAGGUAUGAGCUUGGUAUUGAAGGAACCACCAUAAGUGCUUGCACUCGUGAAUCGUUGAGCUAAAAUGACGUUAAACAAAGCUCUUAGUGGGAGGAAACCCACACUUUUUUUAUCACUUAUGUCUUUUUUUGUUGUUUAUUUACUAUUUUUUUGUUCUACUUUCUUGUGUGUUUAUGUUUAUGUUUUUUCUUCUUAUUUAGUCGUUUUUGUAAUUUUUCUUUUCAAAAAGACCACUUUUUCAAAACUUUUCCCGAAUUAGGGUCUUUAAAAAAAAAGC
rnacentral:lncRNA from 1 species